CCAGGGUCGCAGUUGGGUCAGUCUGCUACACUUAAUACACCUACCAAGAGCUGUAUAGGCAGCUCUGCCUUGAAAGUUCAGCCCUCAGAGAUUUGAAUCAGGCCUAGAUCUGAAGGCCAAACAUCAUUAAGAUAGGGGAUGGCUUUUCUUUCAACAAUCUCCAUCCAGGCCAGGCAGAUUCUGCUCCACAGGGACCAUCUAAGAGGCCAGCACAACCAGGCAACAGAAUCCCAAGGAUUUAGUCUUGUGGGGAUACAAAAUGAUCAGCAGUCAAGUAGCUCACUCCAAGAAGUAAUUCAUGGGUUGUUUACAGCACCAGUGGUUAAGGAAUGACCUCAGCAGCAAGCUUAGGAAUGACCCCUCUCCUGUGGCAAGAGAAAGCUGCUGUACUGUCAUACCACUGACUAAUUAAAGCUAAUUAAAGCAAAUGGAAACCCUCAUCUGACUGGAAAAUAAAAACAAAUGGAGAAUCAGGAACAUGCAACACAUGAAACGA